rnacentral:rRNA from 1 species
UACGGAGGGUGCAAGCGUUAUCCGGAUUUACUGGGUUUAAAGGGUGUGUAGGCGGUCCGGUAAGUCCGCUGUGAAAGUCGGGGGCUCAACCCUGGAAUGCCGGUGGAUACUGUCGGGCUAGAGUCCGGAAGAGGAGAAUGGAAUUCCCGGUGUAGCGGUGAAAUGCGCAGGAUAAUCGGGAAGAACACCCGUGGCGAAGGCGGUUCUAGCUGGGACGG